CGGGCACCUGCGAUCACCCCUAGUUUUUGGUGGGGUUCGUGUUGUUUAUUCUUUAGUUUUCUAUGUUGUGUCAUGUGUACUAUUGUUUUUCUGUUUUUCUGUUUGUCUUUUUCAUUUUUUAGCCAUGGCGUUGUCAGUUUGUUUUAGAUUUACGAGUUUGACUGUCCCUUUGGUAUCUUUCGUCCCUCUUUUAUAUUUAUAAAUUAACUGUUUACAAAAUUUACAAUUUUUGAAAAACUAAGGCUGUUCUACCUCAGGCAUAGAUUACCUUAGCUGGAUUUGGCAAAACUUUUAGGAAUUUUGAUCCUCAAUGCACUUUUGAAGACGAAACUCGCUGGCGUACAUACCAAAUUUAGUCCUGGUAUCUAUGAUGAGUUUAAUUACUGGAAGCC
rnacentral:lncRNA from 1 species